rnacentral:piRNA from 1 species
UGCCCCAUGCUGUAGACCCUCUGGGGU